UACAUGCCCUACAUCUCUCAGAGG
rnacentral:siRNA from 1 species